rnacentral:miRNA from 1 species
UGGGUUCAAGGCUCGUCGCUGCUAC